CCCUUAGAUGUUCUGGGCGGCCCGCGCACUACAUUGGCACUGGCAACAAGAUCCUAGAUCUGGUAUUUCGGGGUAUUCUACCAACUGGUGUCGUGACUGGGAUUAACCCCUGCAAUUAUUGGUUAUGAACGAGGAAUUCCUUGUAAUCACGGUUUAUCAACCCGUGUUGAAUGCGUCCCUGCCCUUUGUACACACCGCCCGUCGCACCUACCGAUUGAAUGGUCCGGUGAAGCCUCCGGAUUGGCGCGCACCUCGGUGCCGCCGAGAAGUUGGCUAAACCUUACCAUUUAGAGGAAGGUGAAGUCGUAACA
rnacentral:rRNA from 1 species